GGUGCCUUAGGAUGGAUCUGCGGCCUAUCAGGUAGUAGUGGGUGUAAUGUACCUACUAGCCGACGACGGGUACGGGUUGUGAGAGCAAGAGCCCGGAGAUGGAUUCUGAGACAUGAAUCCAGGCCCUACGGGGCGCAGCAGGCGCGAAAACUUUACAAUGCGGGAAACCGCGAUAAGGGGACACCGAGUGCCAGCAUAUUAUGUUGGCUGUCCACAUGUAUAAAUCACAUGUGUUAGCAAGGGCCGGGCAAGACCGGUGCCAGCCGCCGCGGUAACACCGGCGGCCCGAGUGGUAGCCGCUAUUAUUGGGUCUAAAGGGUCCGUAGCCGGUUUGAUCAGUCUUCCGGGAAAUCUGACAGCUUAACUGUUAGGCUUCUGGGGGAUACUGUCAGACUUGGAACCGGGAGAGGUAAGAGGUACUACAGGGGUAGGAGUGAAAUCUUGUAAUCCUUGUGGGACCACCAGUGGCGAAGGCGUCUUACCAGAACGGGUUCGACGGUGAGGGACGAAAGCUGGGGGCACGAACCGGAUUAGAUACCCGGGUAGUCCCAGCCGUAAACGAUGCUCGCUAGGUGUCUGGGAUGGUGCGACCGUUUCAGGUGCCGCAGGGAAGCCGUGAAGCGAGCCACCUGGGAAGUACGG
rnacentral:rRNA from 1 species